rnacentral:rRNA from 1 species
UACGAAGGGGGCUAGCGUUGCUCGGAAUCACUGGGCGUAAAGGGCGCGUAGGCGGAUCUUUAAGUCGGGGGUGAAAGCCCAGGGCUCAACCCUGGAAUUGCCUUCGAUACUGAAGAUCUCGAGACCGGAAGAGGUAAGUGGAACUGCGAGUGUAGAGGUGAAAUUCGUAGAUAUUCGCAAGAACACCAGUGGCGAAGGCGGCUCACUGGUCCGGUACUGACGCUGAGGUGCGAAAGCGUGGGGAGCAAACAGG